rfam:Eubacterium sp. CAG:252 genomic scaffold, scf49
UAUCAACUUCAGGGCAGGGUUUAAUUCCCUACCGGCGGUACAGCCCGCAAGCGUUAUGCAUGAACUGGUGUAAUUCCAGUGCCGACAGUAUAGUCUGGAUGAGAGAAGUUAUAU